GUGGGGAAUAUUGGACAAUGGGGGGAACCCUGAUCCAGCCAUGCCGCGUGUGUGAAGAAGGCCUUUUGGUUGUAAAGCACUUUAAGCGAGGAGGAGGCUACCGAGAUUAAUACUCUUGGAUAGUGGACGUUACUCGCAGAAUAAGCACCGGCUAACUCUGUGCCAGCAGCCGCGGUAAUACAGAGGGUGCAAGCGUUAAUCGGAUUUACUGGGCGUAAAGCGCGCGUAGGUGGUCAAUUAAGUCAAAUGUGAAAUCCCCGUGCGUAACUGGGGGAUUGCAUUCUAUACUGGUUGGCUAGAGUAUGGGAGAGGAUGGUAGAAUUCCAGGUGUAGCGGUGAAAUGCGUAGAGAUCUGGAGGAAUACCGAUGGCGAAGGCAGCCAUCUGGCCUAAUACUGACACUGAGGUGCGAAAGCAUGGGGAGCAAACAGGAUUAGAAACCCGGGUAGUCC
rnacentral:rRNA from 1 species